rnacentral:rRNA from 1 species
UGGGGAAUAUUGCACAAUGGGCGCAAGCCUGAUGCAGCCAUGCCGCGUGUAUGAAGAAGGCCUUCGGGUUGUAAAGUACUUUCAGCGAGGAGGAAGGCAUUGUGGUUAAUAACCGCAGUGAUUGACGUUACUCGCAGAAGAAGCACCGGCUAACUCCGUGCCAGCAGCCGCGGUAAUACGGAGGGUGCAAGCGUUAAUCGGAAUUACUGGGCGUAAAGCGCACGCAGGCGGUCUGUCAAGGCGGAUGUGAAAUCCCCGGGCUCAACCUGGGAACUGCAUCCGAAACUGGCAGGCUAGAGUCUUGUAGAGGGGGGUAGAAUUCCAGGUGUAGCGGUGAAAUGCGUAGAGAUCUGGAGGAAUACCGGUGGCGAAGGCGGCCCCCUGGACAAAGACUGACGCUCAGGUGCGAAAGCGUGGGGAGCAAACA